rnacentral:rRNA from 1 species
CNCGUUACGAUUGCCCUUGAGUUUGAUCAUGGCUCAGGACGAACGCUGGCGGCGUGCCUAACACAUGCAAGUCGAGCGAAGAGCUUGUAUCUUAAUCCUUCGGGAGAAAGAAGCAAGUAAUUAGCGGCGAACGGGUGAGUAACGCGUGAGGAACCUGCCUUUCACAAAGGGAUAGCCUCGGGAAACUGGGAUUAAUACCUUAUGAAACUGUAAAAUCGCCUGAUUUAACAGUCAAAGAUUUAUCGGUGAAAGAUGGUCUCGCGUCCCAUUAGCUAGUUGGUAAGAUAAAAGCUUACCAAGGCCACGAUGGGUAGCCGGCCUGAGAGGGUGAACGGCCACACUGGAACUGAGACACGGUCCAGACUCCUACGGGAGGCAGCAGUGGGGAAUCUUGCACAAUGGACGAAAGUCUGAUGCAGCGACGCCGCGUGAACGAUGAAGGCCUUCGGGUCGUAAAGUUCUGUCCUUGGAGAAGAUAAUGACGGUAACCAAGGAGGAAGCCCCGGCUAACUACGUGCCAGCAGCCGCGGUAAUACGUAGGGGGCAAGCGUUGUCCGGAAUUAUUGGGCGUAAAGGGUUCGCAGGCGGCUUUGUAAGUCAUAUGUGAAAGAACAAGGCUUAACCUUGUACAGCAUAUGAAACUAUGAAGCUUGAGUUAAGGAGAGGAAAGUGGAAUUCCUAGUGUAGCGGUGAAAUGCGUAGAUAUUAGGAGGAAUACCAGUGGCGAAGGCGACUUUCUGGACUUAAACUGACGCUGAGGAACGAAAGCGUGGGGAGCAAACAGGAUUAGAUACCCUGGUAGUCCACGCCGUAAACGAUGAGUGCUAGGUGUCGGGGGUCAA